UGCAUGUCUAAGUACAUGCCGUAUUAAGGCGAAACCGCGAAUGGCUCAUUAAAUCAGUUAUGGUUCCUUGGAUCGUACCUUACUACUUGGAUAACUGUGGUAAUUCUAGAGCUAAUACAUGCAGCAGAGCUCCGACCUUUCGGAACGAGCGCUUUUAUUAGAACAAAACCGACCGGACUCCGUCCGUACUCCGUGGUGACUCUGAAUAACUUUGGGCUGAUCGCACGGGCCCGUCCCGGCGACGUAUCUUUCAAGUGUCUGCCUUAUCAACUUUCGAUGGUAGGUUACGCGCCUACCAUGGUCGUAACGGGUAACGGGGAAUCAGGGUUCGAUUCCGGAGAGGGAGCCUGAGAAACGGCUACCACAUCCAAGGAAGGCAGCAGGCGCGCAAAUUACCCACUCCCAGAACGGGGAGGUAGUGACGAAAAAUAACAAUACGGGACUCUUUUGAGACCCCGUAAUUGGAAUGAGUACACUCUAAAUCCUUUAACGAGGAUCCAUUGGAGGGCAAGUCUGGUGCCAGCCGCCGCGGUAACUCCAGCUCCAAUAGCGUAUAUUAAAGUUGUUGCGGUUAAAAAGCUCGUAGUUGGAUCUCAGUUCCAGACGGGUGGUCCGCCUACCGGUGGUUACUGCCUGUUCUGAACAGCCAGCCGGUUUCUCUUGAUGAUCUUCACCGGUUGUCUUGGGUGACCGGCAAGUUUACUUUGAAAAAAUUAGAGUGCUCAAAGCAGGCGCGACGCCUGAAUAAUGGUGCAUGGAAUAAUGGAAUAGGACCUCGGUUCUAUUUUGUUGGUUUUCGGAACACGAGGUAAUGAUUAAGAGGGACAGACGGGGGCAUUCGUAUUGCGACGCUAGAGG
rnacentral:rRNA from 1 species